GACGAACGCUGGCGGCGUGCUUAACACAUGCAAGUCGAACGGAAAGGCCCUGCUUUUGUGGGGUGCUCGAGUGGCGAACGGGUUAGUAACACGUUAGUAACCUGCCCUUGACUUUGGGAUAACUUCAGGAAACUGGGGCUAAUACCGGAUAUGAGCUCCUUCUGCAUGGUGGGGGUUGGAAAGUUUCGGCGGUUGGGGAUGGACUCUCGGCUUAUCAGCUUGUUGGUGGGUUAGUGGCUUACCAAGGCUUUGACGGGUAGCCGGCCUGAGAGGGUGACCGGCCACAUUGGGACUGAGAUACGGCCCAGACUCCUACGGGAGGCAGCAGUGGGGAAUAUUGCACAAUGGGCGGAAGCCUGAUGCAGCAACGCCGCGUGCGGGAUGACGGCCUUCGGGUUGUAAACCGCUUUAGCCUGUGACGAAGCGUGAGUGACGGUAAUGGGUAAAGAAGCACCGGCUAACUACGU
rnacentral:rRNA from 1 species